UACGUAGGUGACAAGCGUUGUCCGGAUUCAUUGGGCGUAAAGAGCUCGUAGGCGGCUAUUCAAGUCGAACGUGAAAUCUCGGAGCUCAACUCCGAAACUGCGUUCGAUACUGCCAUGGCUAGAGUCCGGUAGGGGACCACGGAAUCCUGGUGUAGCGGUGAAAUGCGCAGAAUAUCAGGAGGGAACACCGGUGGCGAAGGCGGAUGGUCCGUGGGGCCGGAAAGCCUGGACG
rnacentral:rRNA from 1 species